GUUUGCACUUGUCGGGGAAGGGUGAGAACCUUCGAUUAAGGUUCGACUCGAGCGAAAGCGAGAGAACGUUGCCAACG
rnacentral:sRNA from 2 species